CUCCACACACAGUCAGCCUUGGCUGCCCUCACGUGUACAGGUGACAAGAAGCCAGCUGGCUGUCAUAGUCGAGUUGGAUUUCAUCACCUCGAAGCUUCUCUGAGUUACAUGGCCACUGAGGUUACUGUCCUACAAAAUAAAGUCACCACAAAGCCUCUGGACUACUUCUUUUGUGGAUUCAUGAGCUGGGGAAAGGGGUUCUCCAUU
rnacentral:lncRNA from 1 species